rnacentral:rRNA from 1 species
AACGCUAGCUACAGGCUUAACACAUGCAAGUCGAGGGGCAGCAUGGUCUUAGCUUGCUAAGGCCGAUGGCGACCGGCGCACGGGUGAGUAACACGUAUCCAACCUGCCGUCUACUCUUGGACAGCCUUCUGAAAGGAAGAUUAAUACAAGAUGGCAUCAUGAGUCCGCAUGUUCACAUGAUUAAAGGUAUUUCAGUAGACGAUGGGGAUGCGUUCCAUUAGAUAGUAGGCGGGGUAACGGCCCACCUAGUCUUCGAUGGAUAGGGGUUCUGAGAGGAAGGUCCCCCACAUUGGAACUGAGACACGGUCCAAACUCCUACGGGAGGCAGCAGUGAGGAAUAUUGGUCAAUGGGCGAGAGCCUGAACCAGCCAAGUAGCGUGAAGGAUGACUGCCCUAUGGGUUGUAAACUUCUUUUAUAAAGGAAUAAAGUCGGGUAUGGAUACCCGUUUGCAUGUACUUUAUGAAUAAGGAUCGGCUAACUCCGUGCCAGCAGCCGCGGUAAUACGGAGGAUCCGAGCGUUAUCCGGAUUUAUUGGGUUUAAAGGGAGCGUAGAUGGAUGUUUAAGUCAGUUGUGAAAGUUUGCGGCUCAACCGUAAAAUUGCAGUUGAUACUGGAUAUCUUGAGUGCAGUUGAGGCAGGCGGAAUUCGUGGUGUAGCGGUGAAAUGCUUAGAUAUCACGAAGAACUCCGAUUG